CUGAGGAGCGGGCUCCUUCCUUCCUUCCUUCCUGCCUACCUGCCUCGUCACUCCGUCUCUUUCUCGUCGACGCGGGGGCCAAGUGCCGCUGGAGUUCUCCUCAUAGCGCCCGUGCGGCGGGGAAAUCGCGUCCGGAGGGGCGGCUCAGGCGGACGGCGCUGCAGUGCAGUUGGAGGACGGCGGGGCGGUCCAUGGUGCUGCUACUGCUGCUGCUGCUGAAAGCGGCAGAUCUUCCCGACUCAGCCGGCUGCGGCGUUGCUGGCGGUGGGUCUCGCUUGGCCCCGCCUCCGCCACCCCUUCGCUCGGGUUCCUUUGUCCGCUACGCGAUUACGGGGCCGUUGCAGCUUCUUUCCUCUCAGUUGCUGUUUGAUACGACCACAGGGUUCUUUCCAGCUCUUCGCUCUGCUUACGCGCCCCUACGGAUUACUCUUCGGGAAUACGGAACCGACCGCCCCAUUUCUCCGGACUCGGAAGGAGCCGCUGCGCUCUCGUCGGUGUUACGCACGCACUCCCCCCAAAGCCGAGCUACGCAGCCUUGCUGAGCGUCUUCCGUGGAUGCCGAGCCGAACAGCCGAACGGUCUCCGAGCCGAACAGCUUCGGAGGGAAAUCCAAUCAGGAGAAAGUUAACGCAGAGAGCCCUCCCUUCUAGCACUACAUCGGGGCCAAUCGCCGCCGGUGGAAGGAAAGCAUCCGCGCUAUAUAAGCAGCCAAUGACAGAAGAGCUACGAAAAUAAUCGGACAGCGCAUUCUUUCCUUUCUGGGAUCCAAUGAAGAACGUUGGGUCCCGAAUUGUCACCGCUGCGGAACCAAUGGAGCACACGGAUGCUUCCCACGGCAUUUGGACGAACCCGGAGAGGAGGCUGAUGCGAAAUGGGCGGGGCUUCAACGGGAACUUCUCUGCCGUUCCAGGGCGCCUGGCGGGGCGUGAGCGGUAUCAUGCGAUGGGCGCCGCAAGCGGGACGGGCGAUCUUUCGUUGCCCUGAAAGCGUGGUCGCAACUCGGAUUUUCUCUUGGUAGACGUUGCUGCGCUCUGAUGACCGUUUCUCGCCCGCUCCGCUGGAGGGAGGUUGGUUGGGUGCAAAUAUGUCGGUACCGCUUUGGGGACGCAGUAAAGUGCAGUCGUCGCCCUGCGCACUGUCAGCCGAGCUAGUCUUAGCCGUGCCGCGGUUUGAGGGGCGAAGGGAAGUUCCAGCGCGACUGAAGAUGUCAGAUUAGAGAACUCAUGCUAUCAUCAAUUCUUCCAAGUAGCAACACAGAUAAAAUGCUCAAAGGUAUAUGUUAUACAUGCAAAGAGGAAAAGGGGACCACAUCGCUAUCUCCUUGUCAAUCUUCCAUGGUGUUAAACAUAACUUCAGCCUGUAAUUAGAGUUCCUGCAGCCAUAUCACAUGGAUGGUUCAUACUCAGCUUACAAGCAACUACUACUCCAGGAUACUUUUCACAAACAUCAUUAACCAAGCUAGAUAUUCCCCACCUCUGCCUUGGAUUUUUAUUUCCUAAGUGAGGAACAUUGCACUUGCCUCUGGUAAAUUUCUUUCGUUGCUUUCAGUGUAUUUCUCCAAUCACAGUAAUUUUUAAUUGUAUUUCUGUCUUCCAUGGUAUUAAUUCUCCCUCCCAAUUUUAUAUCAUAUGCAACUUUAAUAAUUACUUCUGCCUCUUCAUCCAAAUCAUUAAUAAAAACAUUGAAAAGUAGAUAUAGAAAUGUUUCUUAUGGCACUUCACUUGACACCUCUAAUUUGUCCGGCAAGACUUCUUGAUAAACCAUGCUGGCUUCUAGUAAUCAAUACAUUGAGAAUAAUAUGAGUUUGCUCACAAAUGUGCUUCCUUCCUUCCUUAUGCAUAGGCAUUAGGAAUAAUGGAUGGAUGGAUGGAUGGAUGGAUGGA